ACUCAAAGGAAUAGACGGGGGCCCGCACAAGCAGUGGAGUAUGUGGUUUAAUUCGAAGCAACGCGAAGAACCUUACCAGGGCUUGACAUAUACUUGAAUAAACGUGAAAGCGUUUAGUUUUUCGAAACAAGUAAACAGGUGGUGCAUGGUUGUCGUCAGCUCGUGUCGUGAGAUGUUGGGUUAAGUCCCGCAACGAGCGCAACCCCUGUGAUUAGUUGCCAGCACGUAAAGGUGGGAACUCUAAUCAGACUGCCGGUGAGAAAUCGGAGGAAGGUGGGGACGACGUCAAAUCAUCAUGCCCCUUAUGUCCUGGGCAACACACGUACUACAAUGGCCGUAACAGAGAGAACCGAAGCAGCAAUGCAGAGGGAAACUUAAAAAAGCGGUCUCAGUUCGGAUUGAAGGCUGAAAUUCGCCUACAUGAAGUUGGAAUUGCUAGUAAUGGCAGGUCAGCAUACUGCCGUGAAUACGUUCCCGGGCCUUGCACACACCGCCCGU
rnacentral:rRNA from 1 species